rnacentral:rRNA from 1 species
GGAGUUAGCCGGUGCUUCUUCUGUGAGUGAUGUCCUUCCUGCCGGCUAUUAACCCGCAGGCCUUCUUCCUCACUGAAAGUGCUUUACAACCCGAAGGCCUUCUUCACACACGCGGCAUGGCUGGAUCAGGGUUGCCCCCAUUGUCCAAUAUUCCCCACUGCUGCCUCCCGUAGGAGUCUGGGCCGUGUCUCAGUCCCAGUGUGGCUGAUCAUCCUCUCAGACCAGCUACGGAUCGUCGACUUGGUGAGCCGUUACCUCACCAACCAGCUAAUCCGACAUAGGCUCAUCCGAUAGCGCGAGGCCCGAAGGUCCCCCGCUUUCCCCCGUAGGGCGUAUGCGGUAUUAGCCUGGGUUUCCCCAGGUUAUCCCCCACUACCGGGGCAGAUUCCUAUGCAUUACUCACCCGUCCGCCGCUCGCCACCAGGGAGCAAGCUCCCCGUGCUGCCGCUCGACUUGCAUGUGUUAGGCCUCGCCGCCACGCGUUCAAUCUGAGCCGAGGAUACAAACUACUCGA